AAUCAGACUGUGUGCUUGUAUACUAAAAUAGGACCCAUAUACAGAAGAAUGCCAUAGACCCUACACAAGAAUGACAGGAAAAUUUGUGACGUGUUCUGUAUUUUU
ensembl:snRNA U6 U6 spliceosomal RNA